rnacentral:rRNA from 1 species
UACGAAAGGGGCUAGCGUUGCUCGGAAUCACUGGGCGUAAAGCGCACGUAGGCGGAUUGUUAAGUCAGGGGUGAAAUCCUGGAGCUCAACUCCAGAACUGCCUUUGAUACUGGCGAUCUCGAGUCCGGGAGAGGUGAGUGGAACUGCGAGUGUAGAGGUGAAAUUCGUAGAUAUUCGCAAGAACACCAGUGGCGAAGGCGGCUCACUGGCCCGAUACUGACGCUGAGGCACGAAAGCGUGGGGAGCAAACAGG